UCAGAUUGAACGCUGGCGGCAUGCCUUACACAUGCAAGUCGAACGGCAGCACGGGAGCAAUCCUGGUGGCGAGUGGCGAACGGGUGAGUAAUACAUCGGAACGUGCCCAGUCGUGGGGGACAACUACUCGAAAGAGUAGCUAAUACCGCAUACGACCUGAGGGUGAAAGCGGGGGAUCGCAAGACCUCGCGCGAUUGGAGCGGCCGAUGUCAGAUUAGCUAGUUGGUGGGGUAAAGGCCUACCAAGGCUACGAUCUGUAGUUGGUCUGAGAGGACGACCAGCCACACUGGGACUGAGACACGGCCCAGACUCCUACGGGAGGCAGCAGUGGGGAAUUUUGGACAAUGGGCGCAAGCCUGAUCCAGCAAUGCCGCGUGCAGGAAGAAGGCCUUCGGGUUG
rnacentral:rRNA from 1 species